rnacentral:misc_RNA from 1 species
GUACGGUUCGAAGUCCAAGAAACACUGGGAUGAGUUUACUAAAGACUCAGCCGACCAGUUGGAAAAGAAGUCUAAUCUGAAGACUGAUUAUGGAAGCAAGACGUCCAGCACAGGAAAAUCCAGUAGUCGUUACUUUGAAUCAAGUUCUAGGGACUUGAACACAGAGGAUGGUUACAGCAUUGAUUCCUACAGUGAUGUCCUAUCAGAUGAGAGUCAGGAGCCGUCUAUCUCAGAUCGAUAUGUUGAGAGAUUCAAACCAUUGGAUCUUGACAAAGAAUACUGUAACAAUGAGCACAUCGAAAAGGAAGGGCGUUGGGAUCCUGAAAGAAGUUAUGAUGAAUUUGAGAAAUGUAGGGAGACUACAAGUGCUAUGGGCUGUGAAUCUG